rnacentral:misc_RNA from 1 species
GAAUUGUCCUGCAAAAUUCUAGUUUCCAAAUAGGGGGAUUAUGUUUUUGCAUGAUUUGAAAUUGAGAACGAAAUCUAAGGUUUGUGAGUUCUUAAUAUUUGACCUGUUUUCGAGUCAUUAUUUUUAAUUUGAGUUGGUCCGUCCCUUAGAUUGCUUUGGUUAUUUAUUACAAUGCCGCAGCAUAAACUCUUAAUUUUAUGAUCUUUGAAUCAGAUUUGAGAGUGAUCCUUUGAGAGUGAUCCUUUUCAAUAAGUUACCAUCAUCAUGAAUUUAUUUCCUUUGCUUCAUUUAUGUCUGAUUGAGACAGGGAGG